UUAGUUCCAUACGACUGGCGGAAACUAUAUGAAAAUCAUAUAGAGUGAGAGAACUCACAGGGAGUGUGGAUUUGUAUGAAUUGCCGACCGCCUGGGCGACCGUU
rnacentral:ncRNA from 2 species